GGAAUCACAACGUGUCUACUAAUGUUGUACAACUUGUUUAGUAGGUUAUACAACUUUGUGAACCAACUCUACAUAGGAAGCAAAAUUAUUAAAAAUCUCGUGAAAUAAGAUGUGUUCAGAAUGGUGAAAUACGGCUAUGAUUCAAAAAUCACGUAAAUCGGGUAAAGUCUCGGAGCCGAUAGUAGCGGUCAACCCUAUUUACCGUUAUUAUUUCUUAUGGGGAGCCCUAUCGUCGGAAGGUAAAUGUCUCAAAAUUUUUAUAUAGGUGGUUGCGUCUCAUCUACGUGAGAGUUUUUCGUGUGGAAGAUUUGACCAAACUACGUAAUAUAGGGGGAGAUAUGAGUGUUUUCGUGAAUUUAUAGACUUUAGCUGACGAAAAUAUAUGAAAAGUCGUCGGCUAAGGUCAAAAAAUUUCAAAAUUUUUUAGGCGGUAAACCAAAGUUGGAGGAAAAUUUUCAAAGGACUUUAGCCGACGAAAAUAUAUGAAAAGUCGUUGGCUAAAGUCGAAAAAUUUUCAAAAUUUUCAACAAAAAUUUUUUGGUGGUUAACCAAAAUUUUCAAAAGAGUUUGGCCGACGAAAAUAAAGAAUUUCGUCGGCUAAAGUUCUUUAUAUAGGCAAAGAUGGAUGGUAAGAAGUCUAUUAUCUGCCAGAUUUUCUUCUCGGCCUAGCUCCGCCGUCAAGCCACCGGAGACCGUCACACUUGUCCCAAAAGCUUCGCCGUCGUCUCUACUUUAUUGCUGGAUAGGUGGUGCAUCGAGUGGCGCCGCCGUGAGGGAUAAAUCGAGCUCCAAAACUCCGCCGGUUCGGAUUCGGUGUCGAUCAAAUUUCUCCUUCCUUAGGCCACCAUUUGGUGAGUUCUAUAUAUGGAUAAGUUGAGUUUGAUUAGUACUACAUUCCCCUAGAAUUUGGUAGCUCGAUUCGGUGUGUGUGAAGAGAAUCGAAGAUUUGAAGUUUUUAAGGUUUAAAAUUGGGGAUUUUUAUAUUUUGAAUCGAUUGACCUGUUUAGGCUUAGAAUUGAGCUUCGACUUCUUCUAAAAAGUUGUUCGAAAUGUUGAGAGGAAGAUUCUGUCAAAUUUUGGUCGUGAUUGGAGGUGGCCGAAAGGUUCUGCAGUUUUUUUU
rnacentral:lncRNA from 1 species